ACAACUGAGCCCAGCCUCUAGACGUAUAUUACAGCCGGUCUUUUUUUAAUCCAUAUCUGGGGAACCAAAUUAGGUAUUGUUUUUCAAAACUUGUCAUAUUAUGACAUCGAGCGCCAAUAGGUGAACAAGCACAACAAUGAGGCACAUGUUUGUUUCAUAAAGCGUGUAUUCAUUUUCUGGCAUACAUGUGUGUAUAUUCCUCCCUCUGGAGUCCAUACAUUUCUUUUGUUACCAGUUAGAAGAAUUUCCUUAUACAUCAAUUCCCUUAAUGAUCAGUUUGAACAACAUAAGUUAUUCCACUUUGUUUUCAAAGCUGACGUUAUAAAACAGUUCCUUAAGGAGCGGCUUGCACUUCUACAAAGUGUCAAACUGACUCGUUCAGCUUACUGAAGGUGACCAAGAUGGACAAAGUAAUGGCGAUUGGUUUUCUUUUCCUCUUUUGCGUCGUUUUCCUUAUGAUAGAAGAAAGUUCUGGGGCUGUUCAUUGCCCUGGUCCAAUGCCUGUCUGUAACCGACCAAAAGGGUCUAAGAGAGGAAUCUGCCGCGCUGCUCGACGAUUCAACUGUGACCAACUCCUGCAAGACGAGAACGAGAACCCAAGAGUUCAGCAAACCGCUCCACAAUACUAACUUCUAAGCAUCAUGUAACCUCAAGGAGCCUCAAAUAAAAUGUAAAUUCGUGUUACCUCCUGCGCUUUUAUGACUUUGACUGGAAAAUAAGCAAUAUUUGUCUCUGGGCACUCCUUCUCAAAACUGCACGUUAUUGGUCGAUUUGUAAAAUUGGCACCAGACUAUGGUUGCGAUUCGUCUCUCUCUGAAAAGUUUUAGAGGAAGUUAAUGUUCAAAAAAAAAUAGGUGACUGAAAGACAAAAUGUUAAAUGCUUCUAAUUGUUUAUCGCUUUACGUGUCACUGGUGUUAUACAGAAGUGGUGAAAAUGAUAUUCCAUAAGCGCAAUUUAAUCAUUUCGUUUUUAUAGAAAAAUUCGCUGCAAACUACCCCAUAUUAAAAUUGUUCUUUUCUUUCCGA